CAGUGUACAAGUCACCACCACCCCCAACUCCCGUUUACAAAUCACCACCACCACCAGUGAAGCCAUACCAUCCCGCACCAGUAUACAAGUCUCCACCACCCCCAACUCCCAUUUACAAAUCACCACCACCACCAGUGAAGCCAUACCAUCCUAAACCUGUGUACAAGUCUCCACCACCACCAGUGAAGCCAUAUCAUCCUACACCCGUCUACAAGUCUCCACCACCACCAACUCCCGUCUACAAGUCACCACCACCACCAGUGAAGCCAUACCAUCCUACACCCGUCUACAAGUCUCCACCACCACCAACUCCCGUCUACAAGUCGCCACCACCACCAGUGAAGCCAUACCAUCCUACACCCGUAUACAAGUCUCCACCACCACCAACUCCCGUUUACAAGUCACCACCACCACCAGUGAAGCCAUAUCAUCCCUCACCAACACCAUACCACCCUACACCAGUAUACAAGUCUCCACCACCACCAACUCCCGUUUACAAGUCCCCACCACCACCAGUAAAGCCAUACCACCCUUCACCAACACCAUACCAUCCUAAACCAGUAUACAAGUCUCCACCACCACCAACUCCAGUCUACAAGUCUCCACCACCAACCCACUAUGUUUACUCCUCUCCCCCUCCUCCCUACCAUUACUAAGAAGUGAGUUUACUAUAUCUGAGGUAAUUAAGAUGAACUUAAACCUUUACAAACAUAUAUAACUAAAAUGCAAUGCAAUAAUAAGUUGCACAAUUAUUUCUUCUCUUUUGGUUAGUUUCUUUUAUAUGUUCUCAUUCACAAUAUUAUAUUGUUAUGCAGGAAAAGCAUAAUGUUGAGCUGAAAGAAAGGCAUUUUCCAUUUUCAAGAAGAAAAUUAUAGUAAAUAAUAAGGCUUACAGAAGAUCAGACGAAGUUCUUUUGUAGCUUCAUGUUAUCUAACUUGUCUUAGUGAUAUAUUGUUUUUGUACUCUAUUUUUAUAUAUUACUUUUAUGUGUCUUUGUGUAUGUUUGCUCACUUUCAAUCUUCUUGCAAAAUGCAGAGAUUAAUUAUGAGAUUAUCAUGAAUAAAAUAAGUUAUUACUACUCCCAUAUGUUUUAAUUAACUUCUCAUCACAAUAUAUAUUACCUUUGUUUUCAUUUUAUCAUGUGCUCAUAUUUAAUUUAUAAAAUUAUAAUGUGAACACAACAUUUACAAUUUUUUUCAAAUAGAACUAUUUAUAUAUAUAUAUAUAUAUAUAUAUAUAUAUAUAUAUAUAUAUAACAGGAUGCUCAAAUUAAUAACCAACGAAUUUCAUGUACUUAUGGUUAUAAUUCAAUCAAAUUCGAGUAUUGUAGUCCAUUUACGAUAACAAAAUAAAAAAAUUAUUUAAUAAUCACAUAAUACGUUGUUAAACUUUUGUAAAGUAUAUGAUUUCAGAAGCUCAAACAAAAAAUUACAAUCCAAAUAUUUUAAAAAUAAUAGUUUAAAAUUUUCACGCAUCACAUAAAUAUAUAUACUUACUCCAAGCCUAUCCUAUCCGAAAUUUUCAGCUAUUGAUGUAGCCUCUUGUCGAUACUACUAGUCUUCUCGCUACCUACUAGAAAAAUUCCAUCAAAAUAGAUUGAAUCGACGACCUAUACUUCAACUAAAGGCACGAGGGCGUAGCGAGCUUAACUAUUAUCGUAAUAUAAGAUGAAAUCCACCCAUUUUGAUAUCACAUACACGUCUUUAAAACUGAUAAAAUAAUGAGGUCUACUCUUAGUCAAAAUUAAAUGAUUGUAGACCACAUCUACAGUUCCCAAUUGUCAACAAUUCGAUCCUCCGCGUUUGUGGUAGGUUUCACUUUCAUUUCUUCGGUUCGAUUUUAUCAAAUUUUAAUUUGAUUCUUUAAUUUUUAAUUUUGGAAAAAUGUGUAUGGAAUGUUGAAUCGAAUUAAUUUGUUUAAUUAUCUUUUUAAAAAAUUAGUUUAAAACAAAAAUUGAAUUUCAAUAAAAUUUAAUGAAAAAAUUAUUCAAAUUGAUUAGGUAACCUUUUAAGUCAAAUAUCAAUAGUUGAAUAAUUUUAUAGGUAAAAUAUUCAUAAUUGAGUGACUUUGAGAUCAUACAAGAAAAUUGAGUGACUUUAUAAGAGAAAAAAUCUUAGUUAAAAUAAUUUUUUAUGAGAAAAAAUUCUUAAGUAACUUUAUGGCAUUAUAAAAAAAAAUUAACUCCUCUUUAAAUUAGAAUUACAAAAUUAAAAGUAAGUUCCAUUUUAAAGAUAAGGACAUUAUUAGUAAAAAUAAUUGGUGAACAUUUUCCAAUGAAAAAAUAAUAUUUUUCUAAAAUAGCUAAUAGAUGAUAAUUCGUUUCUUAGGCGUAAAAAUGUUAGGACAUGUUAGCCUCACUCAGUUGAAUAAAUUGCUCACCAAGAACAUAAUCAUUGAAUAUCCUAAAACAAAGUUUAAAAAUGAAUUAAAAAAAAAAUCAGUAAUAAAAAAAUACAUGCAAACUAUCUACAAAUGUAUUAUUAUUAAUUUUUAAAUAAAAAAGAGUAAAUGAAAGAGAAUAGAAGAUCUUUGACUUGUUAAUUAAGACAAAUAUUUGUCUAAUAUAAGUAUGUCGGUAAUAACAAUGUAGACUAAGAUCUGUACUUGUUUAUAUAUCCAUAUCCCUUAAUGUUAGGACCAUUAAAAUUAUUAAUUUAGUUUAACUAAUUAAUGGGAUCUUAUAAAUACAUUAAUAAUAUUACUGUUGUCGGUGAUUAAGUUAAUGCUAAUACUUAAUUGUUUUUUUUUUCCAAUUAAAAUGUCAAAGUCGUUAGAUGAACCAAAAUGGAAUCGUCCAUGAAGAUGGUACCAGAGUACAAUUAUUGAAUAAUAUCUUUUUUUUUUAACUUCAAAAAUUAAAGUGGAAUUCAAUUACCUACUUUAUAAAUGUAUGGCAACUUGGCAAUAAUUCAUUAAAUUUCAGGAAGAACAAAAACCAUCGAUAAUUGAGAUUAAUUUAAGAGAUAAAUGUCAAAAACACAUUUAAUAUAUUACAUAUUUUAAAAAAAUUCAUACUUCACCCCGUCUCUUUUCGAAAAAAUUGAUAUUAUUUUAUUUUUUUAAAAAUAGGAAUUCUAUCCAUCCUAUAUAACCUCCUGUACCUAAUUUUUUUAUAUAUAUUUUUGUGAGUUUGUAUUAGAUAUGUACAUAUAUUUUUAGGAAUUCUUUCUACUUGUGUACCAAAUAUAAAGUAAAUAAAACAUUUAUUUUUUAAAAAAGUCUUGAGGCCGUGGCAAAUAAAAAUUAUUUUCAAUAUGUUUAUAUCUAACACAAAAGGAGAAAAAGUUCGAAAGCGGACGGUUAGGUGGGGUAGGUAUAUUUUUUUUAAAGCAAAUUAGUAUAUAUAUUUUUUUGUGUGUGUGGGGUUGGGGGGGGGGGGGGGGUAAAAAAAAGUUAAAUACCUUUACAAAAGAAAUUUAAACAAAAAAAACUAAAAAAAAAAAGGGUGGGGGGAGGGUUGGACGGUUAGAGAAAGUGAUGGAGUGGGUAGGGAGGCGAGCAAAAUUGGGAGGGAGACGAGCAAACUUUGUACGUAUCGUAACCCAGAACAUGUGAAUCAAGCAAGAUACACACUAGGUACAUGUAUUUGUACGUGUCUAGAGGAAUUCACAUAUAUCUGGGAUAUCAUAUUCUUGGAAGAAUGACGAGCAAAAUGGAACAGAGGCAAGGAAGGAAAACGAGAUAUACUAUGUAUCCCAAAUACAUGCGAAUUCAAUAAAUAUAAUGUAUCUAGAACAAAUUACACCUAAAUUUGAUCGAGAUAUUCGAGAUACAUGUAUCUCAAGGCACCAAAAUCUGAUUUUUAUAUAUAUAUAUAUAUAUAUGAAAGUUUAUGUGAUCGAUAAAACUAAUAGCUUAGUAUUUCAAUGGUAUCAUUUCUACACAAAAUAGUUCUACCUCAAUUUAUGACAAAAAUGAUUUUAUUUAUAUGAGAUCAAAUUUAUAGGGUUUCGAUGACCAUGAUAAAACAGGAGAAUGUACAAAAAUACUUAAGUCCUUGUUUAUAAUAUACCAUUUUGCCAAAAUAUUUGUAGCUCGAUUAACUUUCUUAUAGAAAUGUUGAACCUUUCAAAUAAUAGUGCUUGAUAUAAUGAUAUAUUGUAAAUAUGAAAAGUGAUGUUUUUCAUUUUCCAAAGAAUACCACUAAAAUAGUUCUUUCUAACAUCAUGUAUAAAUUUUUAUGCAAGUAAAACAUUUUAAAUAAUAAUCUACGAAACUUGUUAUUUGAUCCUCAUAGAUAUUAUAACAUUUAGUUUUAGUGCUUAUGAAAAUAAUUUUGUUAGAACAAUAUUUCCAUUAUACGUAUAAAAAGUUCACAUUGUUCUUUGUUUUUAAAGAUACAAUAUCCUAAUUAUUUCAUUGUUAUUCCAUCUCUAUUAUUCAUUGAGCAUAAUUUGAAUAAUUUAUUUUUAUCAUAUUAUUACCAAUAUAAUCAUAGAAAGUCAAAUAAGAAAACUAAUUUUCCUUGUUACUAUUUCUUUGAUUAAUUGGAAUUAGAGACGACUAGUUAUUAUUAUGAGCAACUUUCACAUAUAGCAAACAAAAAAUUUAUAUUUGUAUGCUAAUUAAGCUCCAUAGCAAACAUAAAACUGUAUAAUUUGCUAUACAUAUACAAUUGUAUAAUUCGCUGGCCUAUUUCGCUGCAAUAGUAUAAUUUGUUUUGCAUACAGUUGAAUCGAAUUAAAAUGUAUGUAUAUUGCAUAAUUAUAAGUGUAUAGCAAGAAGAUAUAUGUUUUUCUCGCUUUAUACAAAAACAGAAACACAAUAUAUACACUUUUGUUGUAUAAAGCUAGAGAAAAUUGUAUUUCACUGCAAUUGUAUAAUUCGCAAUUGUAUAAUUCGUUGGCCUUUUUCUCUGCAAUAUUUGAAGUAAAAUGUUUGCAAAUUGUGUAAUUAAGUGUAUAACAUGAAGAUAUACAUUUUUGCAUGUGUAUAUACAAUUUUCUCUCGCUUUAUACAAAACAGAAACAGAAUUAUACACUUCUGUGUAUAAAGCGGGAGAGGCGAGCGAGAAUGGAGAGUGGCGAGCGAGAUUUUUGGGAGAGAGACGCUGGCAAAUUUUAGCUAAUGUUUGCUAUGGAGCAAAAUUAAAUCAAAUCCUAGCUAUUCCAUUUAAUUUAGGUUAUUAGUUUGCUAUUAUAUACAAUUUUUUCUAUUAUUAUUAAUCGGAUGCAUUUCACUCCGCACAUAAAUAACUUCCAAUAAUUUAAUAUUAAUUAUAUAUGCUCUAUUAAAUAAUUUUUAAAUAUAAAAUAAUAUUAUGGUAGAUUUGGGGGUGUCAAAAUCAAGUCAAUUUGUCAAACUCCCCUAUUCCAUUUAAUUUAUCAACUUUAACUCAUCUCAACCUAAUUUAGUUUAAUUCAUAUUUAAACAGUGAAUUGAUAUAUAAUUCAAAUUAGCUUAUCAAAAUAUUUUUAAAAUAAUAUUUUUAAAAUUUGAUAUGUUAUAUAUAGUCGUAAUAAAGAAAAAAAUAAACUUAUUAGGUGCUAAAAAAUUUUAAAAAGAGCAAACUAAACAACUAAAUUUUAGUAAAAAUUGAAGGGGUUAUAUUAGAAAUCGAAUUUAACUUAAUUAUGUCCAAUUCAUUUCAAUUCAAAUAGACAAUAGCUAAUGAUCCAUUCAUUUGUUAACUCAUUAAAAUUCAAUCGGUUCAAAUUCAGGUCAACUCUCCUAUACCAAACUUCUAGUAGAUCUUAAUCAAUAAAAAUUUGGACACGAAAACAAUUCAUUCAUUUCAUCCAUCAAAUUAUUAAUAAGUGACACCAUCUUAGCGACCCAGUUCAUUGUAUUAUAUUAAGAAAAAAUAACUUAAAUACACAAUUAUAAGUUUUAUAUUUUCUAAUUUUCCCUUCUUUUUUUUAAAUAUUACAUAAUUUCCUUUUUUUAAAAUUUUAGUGUAAGUUUAUAGAUACAUUACAUUCUCUCUCCUAUAGUACACAAUUACCCAUUUUAAUGCCUAUUUAUUCUCCAUUAAAACACUCAACCUUUUAAAUAAAAGACCUAAUUUUGAAUUUCAAAAUUCAAAAAAUUUCAAAUUUCAAAAAUCAGGUUCUCCCGUUUUUCUUACUCCAUCAAGUUUCACUUCCUUUUUUUCCAUAAUCAUCUUCCUUCUUCUUAACCUAGCAGAAUUUAUUGGUUUCUUCUUUUUAUUCUUAAUCCAUCAUCUUUUUCUUCUUAAUCUGUAAUCGUCUUAACCCAAUAUCUUUUUAUUAUUAAUCCAUCAUCAGUUCGUCUUUUCUUCUCUUUUUUCUUUUUGUUAAUUGUUCUAUUACAUUAUAGUAAUGGAUCCGUUAAUUAAUAGAAGGAUAUAUGAUUCCGACGAUGAAAAUUGGAAAGAAAAUAGGAAAAAGUUUUUGCAUGAUCCUAUGAAUCUUCAGAAGGAUUCAAACAAAGACUCUGGCGAAACAUCAAAAUCAAAGGUUAUCAAAAUACAACAAAAAAAGAAAAAAGAAGCAGCAAACAUUGUUGUUAGGCCUACAUUGUCUCGGGUUAGUAUUUUGGUACUUAAAACUGUUGUUGAAAUUAGUAAAAAUUUUAAGGAAUCUAGUGUGCUUGCCGAUACAUUUGAAUAAGUGUGUAUAGUGUUUUAGAGGUGAAUUGAUACAUGAAUUUAUUGUGUAUCAUAAUAUUUUAUAUGUAUCAUGAAGUUUUGAAAAUUGUUAUAAUGUAUCAUUCAAUAAGUUUAGUAAAUACGUCAUCAACUGUGCUUGAUGAUACAUAUAGAAUCAGUGUGUACGGUGUUUAGUCAAUUCACUGAUACAUGUAGGAGAUAUGUAUCACAUGUUUUGCAUAUAGUAUGAAUUUCUGAAAACUGAUAUCAUGUAUCAGUAAGGUAUUAGUUGUUUAGUUGAUGUACUGAUACAUGUUUGAAAAUUGUUAUAAUGUAUCAUUCACUAAGUUUAAUAAAUGCGUCAUCAACUGUACUUGAUGAUACAUAUAGAAUCAGUGUGUAUAUUGUUUAGUCGAUGUUUCUGAUACAUGCAUUAGAUACGAAAUUGAAUCUCCAACAACGAUUCCGUCGAUUUUGUAACUUUCAUACUGCAAUUCGUUCACCUAAAUUCCGGAAUGUCUCAUCAAAAUCGAAGUAUUCAUCUUGAAAAAUCCACUGUAACAACAAUAAAAUUACUGUAGUUCGAAAUUUAACAGAUUGUUCAAAAAAAUUGUUUUCAAAAUAGAUGACAUAAUCUUUGUUUUUCAAAAUUUGAAAUUAAUAUCCAAUUAAGUGCUUAUUUUAUGCUGAUUAAUGAUAUGUUACCGUAAAUUUAGCUGUUUUAUUAACAACAUUAACUGUACCGUUUUCCCCCUUUUUUUUCUCAACAGUUUAAAAUUACCAUGUAUCAUUUACCUUGUAUCACGAGAGUCUAAAGUAUCACGGCUCAACAAAUUUAAGAGAUUUUUUGUAAAUACUAAAUUUGUCUGGACAAAAUGAAAUUAUUGAAUUACACUAUAGGAUUCCUUAAAUUUUUACUUAUAUUAAUCUUUAGUAUGGGGACCUAAAUAUUUAACUUUCCAAUUCCUUUAGGGGUCAAUUUGAUUGAUUAUAAUGAGUGAAUUAUACUAUAAAAAUUGAAAUAAUAAUUAAUGUUUGUAGAGCAUAUUAAAUUAUUUUAUCAUGACUACAGUUGGUGUUAAUUGAAUUGGAAAUAAGAUAUAUACGGUAUAUAAUAUAUAUAGAAAUUUUAAUUUGAUUCGUUGAUUUUGUAUUUUCAGACAAAUUUUAUUUUUAAUUUUACCUUUCUUAAAGAACUUUUAGUUUGGUUGUUUUAUCAUGGAAUUAGCUAAUUAUUAAUCUAGAGAAUUGCUAUUCCAUAUACAACUUUGGUACAAUUAGAGAAUUAUAAUAUAAUUAAUUUCAAAAUUACUUAUAUUUAGGAACAAAAGUUUCAAUCAAACGAUAAAUAAUUGAAUAUUUUAUCUCAGAAUUAGUAUUAUUAUUAUUAAUACUAAUUAACGAUCCUAAGUUUCGAUUUUGUCACUCCGGUCCUUUUCUUUUAAUCUUUUCACAAACCAACUACAUUUGAUUGCAUUAACUAUAAAGUCCAUUUGCAUUAUUUUACAUAUCAAUUAAUAUUACUAAACUAAAUUUAUCUAUAAUUACUGAUUUAAAUGUAUACCUAUUUUCUCACCAACAUGGCAUAUAUAUUAGACUCAUUAAAAUUAAACGUUGCUUCAUGUGGUGUGUUCAAUUGGUUAGACUAUCUCGUCAAAUAUAUUGUUCGCAAAUAAACAAUGCUCAAAUGAAUGAUAUUAAUGUUGUUGGUGAAUAUUACAAGCUUCUCGUAACGUUUUGUUAGCUUACGUAUGAAUGUGCAAUAUUAUUUCUACUUAUUUUGUCAAACACUAAAAAAGUAAGUAAAAAACUUGUUUAUGUGAGAUAAUAUUUUUCUUUGUACCUAAAAAGUGCAUUAAUUUAUAUAGCUAAAAUAGUGCAAAGUUGAGGCCUCCACGCAUUAUUUUUGGUGAGAAGAAGAAUGAGAAGACUUUCUAUCUCUUUGAAUUAUUGCAUCACAAACAGUAUAGCUGCCUUAAUAGUUUAUUCAUUUGCUUAGCUUAAUGCCUCUAUCCAUCAAAUUAAAUAUACAACUAACAAGACAAAACCAAAUGAAAAUGCAUAACUCUAGGAUUUUACCUACAUUUGUAUAAAUUUUGGUAAGGGUAUCUGUCUAAAUGAAAACUAUAUAAAGGGGUUUGAGUGAAGCUUAAGAUGACAACAACUUUCUCCUUUGUUUCGAAUAUGGGGAAAAUGGCCUUUCUAGUUGCCACCCUUUUAGUGGUUUUAGUGUCACUUAGCUUAGCAUCUGAAAUUUCAGCUAAUUAUCAAUACUCAUCUCCCCCACCACCAAAGGAGCCAUACCACCCUUCACCAACACCAUAUCAUCCCACACCAGUUUACAAUUCUCCACCACCACCAAAAGAGCCAUACUACCCUCCACACACUCCAGUGUACAAGUCGCCACCACCCUCGACACCUAUUUACAAGUCGCCACCACCACCCAAAGAGCCAUACUACCCUCCACACACCCCUGCCUACAAGUCACCACCUCCACCAACUCCAGUUUACAGGUCGCCACCACCUCCCAAGGAGCCAUACUAUCCUCCACACACACCAACCUACAAGUCGCCACCUCCACCAACUCCCGUUUACAAGUCACCACCACCUCCAAAGGAACCAUACUACCCUCCACAUGCACCAACCUACAAGUCGCCACCACCUCCCAAGGAGCCAUACUACCCUCCCCACACCCCAACCUACAAGUCCUCACCUCCACCAACUCCGUUUUACAAUUCACCACCACCUCCCAAGGAACCAUACUACCCUCCUCACACACCAACCUACAAGUCGCCACCCCCACACAAGGAUCCAUACUACCCUCCACACACACCAACCUAUAAGUCACCACCUCUACCAACUCCUGUUUACAAGUUGCCACAACCACCCAAGGAGCCAUAUUACCCUCCACACACACCAACCUACAAGUCACCACCUCCACCAACUCCCAUUUACAAGUCACCACCACCUCCCAAGGAGCCAUACUACCCUCCACACACACCAACCUACAAGUUACCACCUCCACCAACUCCCGUUUAUAAGUCGUCGCCACCACCAUCCAAAGAGCCAUACUACCCUCCACACACACCAACCUACAAGUCACCACCUCCACCACCUCCCGUUUAUAAGUCUCCACCACCACCCAAGGAGCCAUACUACCCUCCACACACACCGACCUACAAGUCACCACCUCCACCAACUCCCGUUUACAAGUCCCCACCACCUCCUAAGGAGCCAUACUACCCUCCACACACACCGACCUACAAGUCACCACCUCCACCAACUCCCGUUUACAAGUCCCCACCACCUCCUAAGGAGCCAUACUACCCUCCACACACACCAACCUACAAGUCACAACCUCCACUAACUCCCGUUUAUAAGUCGUCGCCACCACCACCCAAGGAGCCAUACUACCCUCCACACACACUAACCUACAAGUCACCACCUCCACCAACUCCUGUUUAUAAGUCGCCACCACCACCCAAGGAUCCAUACUACCCUCCAAACACCCCAACUUACAAGUCGCCACCUCCACCAACUCUCAUUUACAAGGUUCCACCACCAGCCAAGGAGCCAUACUACCCUCCACACACACCGACCUACAAGUCACCACCUCCACCGACUCCCCUUUAUAAGUCCCCACCACCUCCUAAGGAGCCAUACUACCCUCCACACACACCAACCUACAAGUCACCACCUCCACCAACUCCCGUUUAUAAGUCGUCGCCACCACUACCCAAGGAGCCAUACUACCCUUCACACACACCAACCUACAAGUCACCACCUCCACCAACUCCCGUUUAUAAGUCUCCACCACCAACCAAGGAUCCAUACUACCCUCCACACGCCCCAACCUACAAGUCGCCACCUCCACCACCUCCCACUUACAAGUCGCCACCACCACCAAAGGAGCCAUACUACCCUCCACACACACCAACCUACAAGUCAUCACCUCCACCAACUCUCAUUUAUAAGUUGUUGCCACCACCACCCAAAGAGCCGUACUACCCUCCACACACACCAACCUACAAGUCACCACGUCCACCAACUCCCAUUUAUAAGUCGUCGCCGCCGCCACCCAAGGAGCCAUACUACCCUCCACACACACCAACCUACAAGUCACCACCUCCACCAACUCCCGUUUAUAAGUCGCCACCACCACCCAAGGAUCCAUACUACCCUCCACACACCCCAACCUACAAGUCGCCACCUCCACCAACUCCCGUUUACAAGUCGCCACCACCACCCAAGGAGCCAUACUACCCUCCUCACACACCAACCUAUAAGUCACCACCUCCACCAAGUCCCGUUUACAAGUCGCCACCACCACCCAAGGAUCCAUACUAUCCUCCACACACCCCAACCUACAAGUCGCCACCUCCACCAACUCCCGUUUACAAGUCGCCACCACCACCCAAGGAGCCAUACUACCCUCCUCACACACCAACCUAUAAGUCACCACCUCCACCAAGUCCCGUUUACAAGUCGCCACCACCACCCAAGGAGCCAGACUACCCUCCACACACCCCAUCCUACAAGUUACCACCUCCACCAAUUCCCAUUUACAAGUCGCCACCACCACCAACUCCUGCCUACAACUCUCCUCCACCACCUUACUAUCUUUACACCUCUCCCCCUCCUCCCUACCAUUACUAAAAAGCCACUUCAUUAUAUCGAGGUAAUUAAGACAAACUAAAACUAUUACUAAUGAUGUGUCUAAAAUGCAAAGCAAUAAGUUGCUCAAUUUCCUCAUGCAAAUCAUUAAUAUAUAGACCUAUGCAGUCUAUAUUCUUAUUUGGAUAACUUUAAUUACAUGUUCUCAUUCACAAAAUUAUAUUCUUAUGCAGGAAAAGCAAAAUGUUGAGCUUAAAGAAAGGCAUUUUACAUUUUCGAGAGACGAUGAAAAAAGAAGAAAACUAUAGUAAAUAAUAAGCCCCACAUAAGUCGAAGUUCUUUUGUAGCUUCAUGUUAUCUAAGCUAGUGAUACUGUUUGUACUCUAUUAUUUAUAUUUGUAUUUUUACUUUUAUGUCUUUCUGUAUGUUUGCUCAGUUUUAAUAUCCUAGCAAAAUGCAAAGAUUAAUUAUGAGAUGAAUAAAAUAAGUUAUUACUAUUAUACAGUUUUAUGUUUUCCUUCUCUCUGAUCUAUUCGAUCUUAAUUAGUCCUUUUUUUGGUCUUAUUUCUUCAUCUUUAUAUCGAAGGCGAGGCUCAACGAUUACAUUAAAUCAAUCAUCAUACAGAUAAAAUUGAUGACAAAUUUAACGUUAAGAUAUCAUCAAAAUCUCAAUAACAAUUUACAGAUCGAAAUCUUAGUAUCGAUUGAUUAAUAACCUAAACUUUCGCCAUGAAGACUUGAAUCCCUAAUCCCGUCCUUCAUUUCCCAUAUCUCUACCCACACAUUAUCUUUUAAGAAAGAAGAAGUAACAACCAAAAUAAACAUUAUAUCUAAAGUGAUAAUAUGAUAACAAUACAAAUAGGCAACAAUACAAUUAAAGAAAAAAAAAAAAGUUACUCCCACGAUGUCAACACGUAUGCUAGACUGACCAAUAAAGUUAGACAAAUUUCAAAAUUGACAAUAGCAAAGUAUACGUACGUAGCAUAUAGCAACCAAUCAAUGAAUAAAUUAUUCCUAAAGUAGUCAUUAUCAUCUCAUAUACUAUAUUUGGUAAAAUACUAAGAUUAAGUCAACAUAAUUCAGUCUACCGUUUGGUAAUUUAUAACAAAUAGUGACAAUAUUAAUAAAGUGAUUGGUGCUCUCUUUUGGCCCACCCCCAAGAAGAUCGUGAACGCAUAUUUUAAAUUUGAUUUGAUUACCACUUUUUAAUAUCUUUAAAAUAAAACUUGUAUAUUUAAAAAAUUAAAAAUUAUUAUUAUUAUUUAAUUAUAUAAAUAAAAUAUUUUAAAAUACAUUAGUAUCUUAAUAGAGAAAAGAUUAAAAAAUUAAAAAUUAUUAUUAUUAUUUAAUUAUAUAAAUAAAAUAUUUUAAAAUACAUUAGUAUCUUAAUAGAGAAAAGAUUGUUUGUUUGAUUUUCUAAAGUAACAGAGUCGGAUGAGAUAGUUGAUUAAUUUGACGGUUUGAAUAAUAUAAUCUUCUUGAUAAAUAAUCAUCAACCCAUCAUGCAUGUUUUAUAUUUAUUGAUAGAAACUUUGAUGGAUUGAUUUGUUGGUGCCGCCUCAACAUAGAGAAAAGAAAAAGAACAAGUUAUUUCAAUCUAUUACACUUUAGAGAUUAAAAAAAACAUUUUUUAAAGCAGUGAUAAAAUUGAUAAUAAUAAGUUGUUAAUAUGUUUGGCAAAAAGAGUGUCGAUUAACUAUUUUUUGCUAUAGUAUUGAAAUAUCUUUAGAUUUUUUAACCCCCAAAAAAGGUUUAAAACUACCUCUGUAAAGAAAAGGAGUUUAUUUUUAGAAAAUAUAUCUCGAGAAAUAAAGUAAGAUAAAGGAUAAAAUCGUGAAAGAAAAAUGUUGAUAAGCAAACAAAAAAAUCAAAGUUAGGAAUGACCAAUUUAUUGAAUAUAACUAAAUUGUCUUAAAUAAGCAACUUAGCUUAUAAAUAUAUAUAUAAAAUUAUUUUUAUAUCAGUUUGAUCAAUUAAUAAUAAAUUGAUUAUGCAUGAAAUAAUAGGAAGUGUUCUAAUUAAAAAGAAUACAAGGAAAAAGGUGCAGUAUUGUGUACGAUCGACCAAACAUACAUUCGUUAUUAAUUAUUAUUAAGCUAAUUAGACAACGCUAUCUUAUUAAUUUAUUAUAGAGCUGUCGAUAUUAGUUUAGAUAAUUAAAUUAUAUAAAAUUCAUUUAAUUCAAUCAAAGCUUGACUUGUUAAAUGUUAGGUUUAUGAUAUGAUUAAUUAUAUAUAUAAUUCACUAUGAUUUUACGCGACUUGUUAAUCAAGACCUUAUUUAACAUAUUGAUUAAGUUAUUAGUUAUAUAACUAAUAAAAAUAUAUUUUAAAUAAUAAAUGGUUAUUGAGAGAAAACUUCCAUGCAAUUAUCAUAAUAAGAAACUUCUUAAGAAAUUGUCUCUAAUUAGAUAAUUGGAUGGUGACUCUUUUGUUUAAAAAAAAUUGAAUCAAUCAAGAUUUUAUUGCUAUUAAUUGUGAACUACAAUUUGUAGAAGGGGAGCAUAAACCUAGAUAUUAACUAUGCACAACAUGAGUGUGCAAGAUUAUUUUGUUUAUUUAUUUUGAUUCAAUUCAGUAUCCGAUAUUCAUAUUAGAUUCUCAAUCAAAUUUGUAUUUACAUUAAAAAAAUUCAGUGCUCCUUAACAGAGGCAACAACUCUGUACUCAGGAGAACUCGAAUUCGAGACCUCUAAACAAGAAUAAAGAAGUAUUUGUUAUUCCAUAACAAUUUUUAUUGAUAAAAGAAACUCGUAGUAUCAUGAAAAGAUAAUAGAUUAUCUAGGCCUAAUGGAAAAUUCAGUCAAGCUUUAGAGGGAAAAUUAUGGCAUAGCAAAGUUACAAACUUUAUAGUAUGAUUAACUUAAUUACAAGACCGUUAAAUUGAAUGCAACCCCAAUAACUUUUCUUUCAAUAAAUAUUUGGCCUUUGUGAGCUUUAUUUGAACUCUCUCUUCCUUCAUAAACUUGACCAUCAGCAAUAUUUUCCUUUCCUCUUUUAUUUUAUUGCUCACUCGAUAGUCAGCUUUUAAGAUUGACUUGAUGUUUCGAUAAGCGAAAGGUGUAAAUCCAGAUUAUGCUCAAGUAUCUAAGUGAUAUAUGAAUUGCAAACUUUUUGCAUAUGCAUUUGAGAAGAAAAUAAUUAUCACAAGAAAAUAAAUAAUUAGCAUGCGGUAAAUUAUUAACGUAGUUAAAUAAUGUUAUAGUCUUAUAAAUUAAAAUAAAGACAAGGCAACAAUUGUCACUAAUUAUUUGUAUUGUUAGCAACAAAAACUAAGAGAACAUAAAUAAUAUAUACUUAAUGGCUCAAUUUUACACCAUUUCACUAUAAAUAACUUUAUGUCGCUAAUUUGAUUACAUAUUUUUGUGACGAAACUUAUUUUGUAUCCAAACUUAAACGAAUUUAAAGAUAAAUAUGAUUUAUCAUAAAUAUUCAGUAAAAACAGGGAGAAAAUUUAUCAUCAUCAAUAUCCUCAAUUUCGUCGCUAAAAUUACCUUACAAUUUGAUUUAAUUAUAAAUUGAAAAUCAAAUUUAAAAAUGAUUAAAUUUGUGAUGUUGGUGCAAAAUGCACGUAUCAAAUUAAACCCACCUUUAGGUCUAAGAAAAUGGUGAGCACAUCUUAACCAUUAUUCUUCAACUCAUUUCAUCUCUUCCUCAAUUAAUUAUGCAAAUAAUAAAAAUAUUUCUUUUUCCAUUCAAUGUCUGUGUUUUAUAUUGAAGUUCCAAUUAACUCUAGAUUAGAAACCGGAGGCGAGGGCACAUUUAAAGGUGAUGCUUCCUAUACGACUCAUGUAGUAAAAAAAAUUAUAAAAAAAACCACCACAAUAAUUAUAUACGCUUCAAAAAAAAGAAGAGAAUAGAAUAGCAUCCUAUUCAUAGAGAAAACUAUACUUGAUAGUUAACUGGUAGCAAAACUUUUGCACAAGAUUAAUUAUAUUUGUAUAGUUGAUUUAUUCAAGGUUUUAAUUAGAAGAGGUCUAGGAUUCUAUUUAUUUUUAUCCAUAUUUUUUAAACAAUAAAUUUGCUACAAAAGGAUGUCUGUGACAAAUCAUGUCUCCUAAAUAUAAGCACUUGUGUGAAGGUUAGUUGAGUGUAAAGUUGAGGCAUCCACGCAUUUUUUUUUUCAAAGGUUCUGUAAAAAGAAAACAAGAUUUUGUAGCUCUUUGAAUCAUUCUGUCACAAACAGUAUAGUUCCCUUAAUAGUUUAUACAUUUGCUUAGGAUGAUGCCUCUAUAUAUCUAUCAAAUUAAAUAUACAAACUAAAGUCAAAAUUGAGCCAACAACAUGUCAAGACUAAAUAAACAUAUGCAUAACUCUACCAUAUUACCUACAUUUGUAUAAAUUUUGGUAAGGGUAAUUUCUAAAUGAAGUCUAUAUAAAGGGGUUUGGGUGAAGCUUAAGAGGACAAAAACUUCUCUCCUUUGUUUCAAAUAUAGGGAAAAUGGCCUCUCUAGUUGCAACUCUUUUAGUGGUUUUAGUGUCACUUAGCUUACCAUCCGAAAGUUCAGCUAAUUAUCAAUACACAUCUCCCCCACCACCAAAGGAGUCAUACCACCCUUCACCAACACCUUAUCAUCCCGUACCACUUUACAAGUCUCCACCACUGCCAACUCCAGUUUACAAUUUUCCACCACCACCCAGAGAGACGUACUACCCUCCACACACUCCAGUGUACAUGCCGUCACCACCCUCGACACAAAUUUACAAGUCGCCACCACCACCCAAGGAGCCAUAUUACCCUCCACACACCCCAACCUACAAGUCGCCACCUCCACCAACUCCUAUUUACAAGUCUCCACCGCCGCCAACUCCCUUUUACAAUUCUCCACCACCACCCAAGGAGCCAUACUACACUUCGCCACCUCCACCAACUCCUACUUACAAGUACCCACCGCCACCAACUCCGGUUUACAAUUCUCCACCACCACCUAAGGAGCCAUACUACCCUCCACACACCCCAACCUACAAGUCGCCACCUCCACCAACUCCUGCUUACAAGUCUCUACCGCCGCCAAUUCCAGUUCACAAUUCUCCACCAUCACCCAAGGAGCCAUACUACCCUCCACACACCCCAACCUACAAGUCGCCACCUCCACCAACUCCUGCUUACAAGUCUCUACCGCUGCCAAUUCCAGUUCACAAUUCUCCACCAUCACCCAAGGAGCCAUACAACCCUCCACACACCCCAACCUACAAGUCGCCACCUCCACCAACUCUUGCUUACAAGUCUCCACCGCCACCAACUCCGAUUUACAAUUCUCCACCACCACCCAAGGAGCCAUACUACCCUCCACAUACCCCAACCUACAAGUCGCCACCUCCACCAACUCCCAUUUACAAGUCGCCACCGUCACCAACUCCGGUUUACGAUUCUCCACCACCACCCAAGGAGCUAUACUACCCUCCACACACCUCAACCUACAAGUCGCCACCACCACCGAAUGAGCCAUACUACCCUCCACACACACCAACAUACAAGUCGCCACCUCCACCAAUUCCAAUCUACAAGUCACCACCUCUUCCAACUCCUAUUUACAAGUCGCCACCACCACCCAAGGAGCCAUACUACCCUCCACAUACUCCACUUUCACCGUCUUCAGUUUAUAAGUCUCCACCUCCACCAACUCAUGUUUACAAGUCGCCGCCACCACCUAUAGAGCCAUACUACCCUCCACACACCCCAAUCUAUAAGUCGCCACCUCCACCGAUUCCUGUUUACAAUUCACCACCUCCACUAACUCCAGUUUAUAAGUCACCACCACCACCCAAAGAGCCUCACUACCCUCCACACACCCCAGUGUAUAAGUCACCACCACCACCCAAGGAGCCAUACUAUUCUCCACAAAAUCCAGUCUACAAGUCGCCACCUCCACCAACUCCCAGUUACAAGUCGCCAACACCACCCAAGGAGCCAUAUUAUCCUCCACAUACCCCAACUUACAAGUCACCACCUCCACCAACUCCAGUAUACAAGUCGCCGCCACCACCCAAGGAGCCAUACUACCCUCCACACACCCCGACCUACAAGUCGCCACCACCACCGAAGGAGUCAUACUAUCCUCCACACACCCCAACCUACAAGUCACCACCUCCACCAACUCCUGUUUCCAGCUCUCCACCACCACCAACUCCAGUCUACAAGUUUCCACCACCAACAGAUUAUGUUUACACCUCUCCCCCUCCUCCCUACUAUUACUAAGAAGAGAUUUCAUUAUAUCUAAGGUAAUUAAACCAAACUAAAACUUUUAAUUAUGAUAUGUCUAUAGAAGUUGCACAAUUUCUUCGUUCGAAUAAUUAAUAUAGACCUGUAUACUGUCUACAUCUUAUUUGGUUUAGGUUCUAUUAUAUGUUCUCAUUCACAAUACUAAUUAUAUUCUUAUGCAGGAAAGAUGCAGAAUGUUGAGCUAAAAGAAAAUAAGCCCACACAGGAGGCAAAGUUUUUUUGUAGCUUCAUUUUGUAUAAGUUAUUGUUUGUACCCUAUAUUAUAUUUAUAUUUUACUUCUAUUUAUUUGUGUAAUAUGUUUGUUCGAUCUCCUUGCAACAUGCAGCCAUUAUGAGAUGUAUAAAAUAUGUUAUUACUAUAUAUACUGUCUUUUUUCUUAUUUUUGUCAUCCCUUAUAUUGAGUUAUAUUUAUAAGUUGAGCCUCUUAUCAAUUACAUUAAAUCAGUUGCUAUAAAAAAUGUGGUUUUUCACCACCAAUAAGUUCAACGAUAAGCUACAAUCAACUGGGAAUAUUAGUAGCUUCAAUAGAAAAUGUUAAUAGCUCCGUUGAUUAGUUAUUUGAACUUUUUAUCUUUAUUACACGUCGCAAUAACAAUCAAUGUAAAUAUUAUAUCUAACCUCUGGACUUAUGCCCACAUAAUUCCUCAAUGCACCCACACAAAAUAUUGAAAUUAAAUAUUAUUACUUGCCUAUUUCUCUUAUCUUGAUUAUUAGUUUUCAGGGAUGAAAGUUUAAUUGUUACACCUUUCACUUUUUUAAAAAAAAAAAAAAGGAAUGGACAACCAACUGAUUUCGUAUCUGAUUGUAGUUGUUGAAGGCAUAUUGUAAUAAUUAAAUUUUCGUUUUUGAAAAAUAAUAAUCAAAAAAUAGAAAAUAUCAAUAAAUAAUAAUAUUUAAUUUUAUUUAUUUGUGCACGAUUUAACAAUCAUUAGAGAUUUCACACUAAAAUGUUUAAUUUUUUUGUUUUUUCUUUUUUUCUCUUCAUGACUAUCAACUCAAAAGUUUUGCUUUUUACCUGAAUUGAUGGAAUACUUGUUGAAAGUUUACCACGAAUGCAUAAUCAAUUUUUAAUCACAUUCGAGGAGGCAUAAAACGACUCACAACUUGAAGGCAAAAAAGAGUUGUAUGCAGAAGACUGCAAAUCAUUAUUGAAUAUUUUUUUAUAUAGGCAUCAGCUAGGGUUUGAAAUAUUUGAUCUAAUCGACUUUAGGUUUGAGAAUAUGAGUUGUGUUGGAUUAGACUUGUAAAUUUAAUAAUGGACUAACCUAAAUUUAAUCGAAAAAUUACCUAACUACAUAUAUAUUUUUUUAUCCUAUUUUCUAUUAUUUCAUAUAAUUUAUAAAAAUUACAAAAAUCUUUUUUUUCUCUCAAAUUCGCUCCUUUCAAGAUUCAUAACUUUAAAUCUUCCAACUCACAAUUUCUCCUUUUUCUCAGGCCUAUAAUCGCUCUACUAUAUUACUAGUUACCUUCAUCUCCUAUAUUUUGAAUUUUAGAUAUUUUUCUCUCUCCCGUUUAUAAUUUAAUUGAGUAUGUAUCAUAUGUUUGUUAUGUAUGUGAAGUACUAUUUUAUAACUAAAUCAUUGUUUAUCAUAUUCAUAAGUUUUUUUUAUAUGAUACAUAGCUAUGUCAAAUUAUACCGGCAUGAUACAUAAAUACUAAUUUAUGCUACAUGUAACGAUCUCAAAUCAAACAACUUAUGAGCAACAAUUACAUGUUAAAUGUAUCCCGUAACAAUACGAUACUUAUUAAUUUAAACGAGAUAAAUAAAUAGUAAUGUAUCAUGUAUUAGUUUUUAGAUGUGAUACAUAAAUUCGAAUUUGGACUACAUGUAUUAAUUACAUAGAAACUACCACGCGGUGAUGUAUCCAUCACAAAUGUAACAUCUUAUGGGCAACAAUUACUUAUUUAAUGUAUCUACUAUAAAUACAAUACUAAUCAAUUGAGACGAGAUACACAAAUAGUAAUGUAUCAUGCAAAAAAAUUUUUUACUUGAUAUGUGAAUUCGAAUUUAUACUAAAUGUAUCAAUUACAUAGCAACUACCACAUUGUAAUGUAUCGAUCUCGAAUUCAACAUCUUAUGGACUAUAAUUAUUUAUUUAGUGUAUUUAGUAUAAAUACAAUACUUAUCAAUUUAAACAAGAUACAUAAAAGUAAAAUGCUAAGUAGACAAGAUAUUCAUGAUAAUAUUCUCAAUUUUUUUGAGAUUCUUCAAUAAACUAGGAGAAGAAUUCUGAAUCUCAAAAUUUACAACAAUUUUGAAUCAAAAUUAAAAAGAUCUUUGAUGAACUGGAGAACAAAGAAUCUUAAUCUCAAAAUUUUUAACAAUCUUGAAUCAAAACUGAAAGGAAUAUCUUUGAUGAUCUUGAAGAUUCAAAAGAAAAUUGUUUAUCCAACAACAAUUUUGUCACUUUUGUAUCAUUCAUAAUUCACUUCGCUUACCCAAAAUUUCGACAAAAGUUUUUGGAUCAAAUGUGAAAGGUUUCUUUGUUGAACGGGGGGAUCAACUAGAAAUUUUAAAUUUCUUCGUUCUGUAUGGAUUUGAUUCUGUAUGAUUGAGAGUAAAAAGAAAUAUAAGCGUAAUUUAUGGAAUUUAAUUAGUUUUCAGAUUUUAUUUUCUUUUUAGCGCAACAGAAAGAUUCUUUUUGUAUUAAAAUUAGUGUAUCUAGAUGGUGGUGACUUAUGUAUUUGUUGAAGGAAGCUGAUGGAACAGGUUUGGUAGUAUAUGACUUUUUUCCUAUAUAAGGAUGAUGUAACUCAAUCAUUCAUUCAUCAAUAUAAUCCUUGAUUCUUCACAUACAUAUCUGUGAGAAUUCUACAUCCGAAAGGUACAAAUUUUAACGGAUCAUUUUAUUAGAAAAAAAUAGAGAUAAAAUAUAAUGUAUUCUUUACAUUACGAAGUUUACGUAAGUUAAUCAAAUUUGAUUAAACUUCCCUUAAAUCAUAAAAGUUUAACUUAAUAUUAUUCCAACUUUAUUAUAGAUAUAUAUAAUUGGAAAAAAAAACAAACAAAAUAGAACAUAAGAUCUCGAUCGCUGGACAAAUGUUUGUCUAUAAUAAAUAAAUAUGUCGGUAAUAAUUAUUGACUAGGUCAAUGUAGCUAAGGUUUGUACUUGUUUAUACUUACAUCCUAUCUCUUGGGACGAUUAAAAAAAUAUUAGUUUAGCUUAUUUAAUAAUGGAAUCUUAUAUGGAGUUUACUAAUUUUAUCUUUGUCGGUGAUUAAGUUAUACAAAUGAUUAAUUAUUUUUCUAAUUAAAAAGUCAAAAGUCAUUAUUGGAUGAACCAAGAAUCUUCCAUGUAUUUGAAUACUUUUUCUGUCUCCCUUAAAUCGUGAUGGCUUUUUUGUAAGUUAAAUAAUAAAAAAUUUUAUUAAUGUUUUGUUGAUAUAAGAAAUUAUAAAAUAAGUAUUUUUGUAUAAUAUAUUUAAAUUUUUAAUUUAAAUUUAAAUUUUAAAAAUUAGUUAUAUUAACUGUUAAAAAACCGUACAACGACUAAAACGGGACGGCUUGUUCUCUUCUUUCUUUUAUUAUAAAUAAAAAUAAAAAUUUAACUAAUGUGCAAUCAAUAAUGUUAAUUAUUUAUUCAAAGUUUAAAUUAAACACAUAAAAGUGAAAAGUAUAAAGCCUUCAACCGAUUCGAUUCAUUUAAUUAUGUUUCUUAAGAUAUUCCAUAUUUUCAAAUUUUAAAGAGAACUAUAAAUUCCUACAUUUAAAACUACAUACAUUAUUAAAAUGUGCCUAUAUAACACGCAUUUAAAUUAGUUGUGCUCAAAUAUAGAUAUCAAACAAGGAAUAAAACAUAAAGUGAAUUACUUAAACUAUAAUUAUAUAUUAAGUAAUUAAAUCAAAUCGUGUAAUUUAAUUAAUUAUACUACCAAAAUAUUAACUUCAACGAUAUGAAGUAACGCAAUGUACCUUUAAAGUUUCACAAAAUUUAAUUAGGUUGUAAGGUUUGAUUCUUGAAAUUUAGAAAUUAUUUUCAAGUGAUUUGAGUACAUUGAAAGUACCUAAGUCAAUAAAGUCAAAAAUAAAUUAAUUUUUACUUUGUAUCGUGACCUGUAUUCUACAUCUUGUGUGUUCCCACGAUAAUAAACUAAGAUACCAAAAAUUUCAUAGAUAUUAUAUUUAAUCAUAUAAAUUUUUUCAAUAUUGAGCUACAUAAUCCGUUGAAUUUUUUGCCCUCUAUUCCCACCUAAAACUAAAAAGAAAGAACAACAUUAAUUGCUUUAUUUAGUAAUGAAAGUGGGUCAUUAUAUAUAUAUAUAUAUAUAUAUAUAUAUAUAUAUAUAUAUAUAUAUAUAUAUAUAUAUAUAUAUUAUUUUAUUUUAUUUUAUUUUAUUUUUUUGACAACUAGGGAAACCUGAGCCGCUAUCCUAUAAAAUAGCUCGCAAAUCACAUAGGAGAGGUAACCUGCACUAGGCAAGCCUGGUGCAACGAGCUUGACCCAGAAGGCAAAUCUCUUGCUUUCGCUGGCAAGGGGUUUCAAACUUGAGACCUCCAAUAUGGAAGUUUCAAGCUCAAACCAUUGGGCCACCCCGAAGGGUUAUAUAUAUAUAACUUUUAGUAAUAUUAGAUAUUGACAUUAAUAAAGAGUGUUAAAGUCUUUAUCGGUAUCAGUUAAGUGUCAUUAGAACCAAUGUUGCUAAAGGCUUUAGGGACACAUACAAAGAAAGUUAUUGCCGCUAAAAACACUUAUUUGGCGACGUUUGAAAAUUAAUUGCCAAUAAUGAUUAUUUUUAAUAUAGUGUAUAUAUGUAUUAUUGUUUUAAAUCUCUAUACUAUUUAAGCACUAAAGGUAAUUAAAGGUUAGUUUAUCAAUCAAAAUCAAAAAAAAAUAAAUUGUUACUCCCUUAGUUCGUUUCAUAGUAGUUGAUCAUCUUACUAAAAAUAAUUGUUACACAUUAAUUGUCCAUCUUAUUAAAUCAAGAAAUCAAUAAUUAAUUUUUUCCUAUAUUAUCUAUUCAGAUAAUUCUUUUGAAAGUAUUAACAUUUGUUUGUAAAAUGUAAAAGAAGUUUUCAAGGGGUGAAUUAAUAAAAUUAUCUAGCUAGUUAAUAAAAAUGAUGGGUGAAAUAAUAUUAUCUAGCUACUUAAUAAAAAUAAUCAACUAAUAUGAGACACAUAAAAAUAGAAUUCUUCAAAUAUUUUGUAACAAAAAAAAAAAGAAAAAAGGCAGUGUACACUGAUUUUUGUAACUAAAAAUCGUGCGAAGUUGAGGGAUGCACGCAUUUUUUUCAAAGAUUUUGUAUGUAUGUAAUGUAAAAGCUUGGAAGAAAAAGAAGACUUUGUAGCUCUUUGAAUUAUUGCAUCACAAGAUGUAAAGAAAAUUGUAUGGUUGUCUUAAUAGUUUAUACAUUUUUGCUUAGCUUGCACCCUCUAUCCAAUAAAUAAAGUCAAAUUGAGCCAACAACAUGACAAAACCAAUUAUAAAAAUGAAUAAAAACUUUACCUACAUUUAUGUAAAUCUUGGUAAGGGUAAUUGUCGAAAUGAAAGCUAUAUAAAGGGGUUUGAGUGAAACUUAAAGAGGACACCAACUUCUCUUCUUUGGUUUCAAAUAUGGGGAAAAUGGCCUCUCUAGUUGCUACUCUUUUAGUGGUUUUAGUGUCACUUAGCUUUGCUUCCGAAAGCUCAGCAAACUAUCAAUACUCAUCUCCUCCACCACCAAAGAAGCCAUACCACCCUUCACCAACACCUUAUCAUCUCGCACCAGUUUACAGAUCACCACCACCACCAACUCCACUUUACAAGUCACCACCACCACCUAAGGAGCCACACUAUCCUCCACACACCCCGGUUUACAAGUCGCCACCUCCUCCAGCUCCAAUUUACAAGUCACCACCACCACCGGUGAAGCCAUACCAUCCAGCACCAGUUUAUAAGUCACCACCACCCCCUACGCCUGUUUACAAGUCACCACCACCACCAGUGAAGCCACACCAUCCUGCACCAGUAUACAAGUCUCCACCACCACCAACUCCAGUUUAUAAGUCACCACCUCCUCCAACACCCGUUUACAAGUCACCACCACCACCAGUGAAGCCAUACCAUCCUGCACCAGUAUACAAGUCACCACCACCUCCAACACCCAUUUACAAGUCACCACCACCACCAGUGAAGCCAUACCAUCCUGCACCAGUAUACAAGUCACCACCACCUCCAACACCCGUUUACAUGUCACCACCACCACCAGUGAAGCCAUACCAUCCUGCACCAGUAUACAAGUCACCACCACCUCUAACACCCGUUUACAAGUCACCACCACCACCAGUGAAGCCAUACCAUCCUGCACCAGUAUACAAAUCUCCACCACCACCAACUCCAAUUUACAAGUCACCUCCACCACCAGUGAAGCCAUACCAUCCUGCACCAGUAUACAAGUCUCCACCACCACCAACUCCAGUUUAUAAGUCACCACCACCACCGGUGAAGCCAUACCAUCCUACACCUGUGUACAAGUCUCCACCACCACCAACUCCUGUUUACAUGUCCCCACCACCACCAGUGAAGCCAUACCAUCCUACACCUGUGUACAAUUCUCCACCACCACCAACUCCCGUUUACAUGUCCCCACCACCACCAGUGAAGCCAUAUCAUCCUACACCUGUGUACAAAUCUCCACCACCACCAACUCUCGUUUACAAAUCACCACCACCACCCGUGAAGCCAUACCAUCCUUCACCAACACCACACCAUCCUACACCAGUAUACAAGUC
rnacentral:lncRNA from 1 species